UACGUAGGGUGCAAGCGUUAAUCGGAAUUACUGGGCGUAAAGCGUGCGCAGGCGGUUAUGUAAGACAGGUGUGAAAUCCCCGGGCUUAACCUGGGAACUGCAUUUGUGACUGCAUAGCUAGAGUACGGUAGAGGGGGAUGGAAUUCCGCGUGUAGCAGUGAAAUGCGUAGAUAUGCGGAGGAACACCGAUGGCGAAGGCAAUCCCCUGGACCUGUACUGACGCUAAUGCACGAAAGCGUGGGGAGCAAACAGG
rnacentral:rRNA from 1 species